rnacentral:lncRNA from 1 species
CUUGCUUUCUUCACAAAAGGGAAACUAAAAUAAAUGCCUUGUAUACGUUACGAUAGAACUCCCCAGUUGUUUGCAUUUUCCUGAAAUUUUUAUUAAGAAAACUGUUUGGUGUUUUAAAUCAUUGUCAAAACUCAAUAAAUAAUGGUUCUUCCAUAUACUCGAAACAAUCAUAUGCAAGAGCAAGAUUCUCAUACAAAAGAAUGCGAUUGAAAUGCAAAAUUAAUGGGACAUCAAUCAUGAUAUUAGUCGUUCGUGACCAAAGUAUUGCCAGAGCAUAACAAGAACAAUAAAAAAGCUUCCAUAAAAACCCAUAGGCCAUAUUUUUGUAAGAGACCACAUAGUUUCAGAGGUUUAUAUCUAAUACAUCCUAGUUUUCACUACUCUAUAACUUCGAUUCUACCGCAUAAAUAAACCUAAAAACCAACUAGUAGGACUUACCACCACCUGUUUGAAAUCUAAACCAAAUUACAAUUCAAAAUCUUCCAAUUUAAACAACAUAAUAGAAAUGUAAGACAAAAGUACUCAACACUAAUUUAAGAUUUUUGUUUUACUGCAAAAGAUCAAACCCCCUACUUAUUGAACAGAAGGGGGAAAUAGGAAAUUUUUUACUUUAAGAUUGAUGUGAGCCGUAUCAGCAGGCUUCUUGCCUUCUUCUUGAUUGGCUACUCCUGACAUCUUCUUCUAUCUAUGGGCCAUAUGGGAUUAGUAGGGUUCAAAAUAGCAGUGGCAUAGUGGUUCGCAGCCGCUAUUUCGCAGUAGCGGCGCCCCCGACACCACUAAACACAGUUCAACAAAUUUAACAUGCAGCGGAUGGCAGCCCGCAAGUAGCAGUGUAACGGGAAAUAGCGGCGAUAACAAGUCCGCUAUUUCAGCUAAAUCGAUGGGUUAAAGUAAACAGAGCAGUGCAGCAGACGCAGAGACGAGAAACAGAAACCGAGCCUGCCAUAACUCAAAAUCUGAUGACUCAAGUAGAAAUCAAUGUUUAAAUUAAGUUUAGGGUAUCAAAAAUUACCUUAGCUAAAUUCCUGGUCUCUCGGCAACUUGAAGGCGCUUGGGUCCUGAAGAGGAGGGUGGCUCGGGAAUUUUCGAAGGAGUGUUUAUUCGGACUAAGAAUUUUAUUUGAAUUUUAAAUUGUAAAUAUCUGGAAUGGGUUCAAUGGGAUUGGUCUCGAAACUUUUUUUUUUUUUUUUUAAAUCGAACUUUAAUAAAUUGGAUUGGACCGAAGUAUGUUGGAUUCAAAAUUUUUUGUCAUUGAAUUAAUUUUAAGUAUAAUGUAUC